rnacentral:rRNA from 1 species
AUUGAACGCUGGCGGCAGGCCUAACACAUGCAAGUCGAGUGGAGCGGCGGCCGGGUGAGUAAUGCCUAGGAAUCUGCCUGGUAGUGGGGGAUAACGUCCGGCAACGGGCGCUAAUACCGCAUACUAUCAGAUGAGCCUAGGUCGGAUUAGCUAGUUGGUGGGGUAAACGCCUACCAAGGCGACGAUCCGUAACUGGUCUGAGAGGAUGAUCAGUCAAACUGAAACUGAGACACGGUCCAGACUCCUACGGGAGGCAGCAGUGGGGAAGUUUGGACAAUGGGGGCAACCCUGAUCCAGCCAUGCGGCGUGCAGGAUGAAGGUCUUCGGGUUGUAAAGCUCUGUUAAUCGGGACGCGGUACCGGAAUAGAAAGCCACGGCUAACUACGUGCCAGCAGCCGCGGUAAUAC